CUAUGGGGCGGCGGAUUUCCCAUGGCGGAAAGGAG
rnacentral:ncRNA from 1 species